UGAAAAGGUCCAAGCCUUCAGGGGCAACGGGAAGGAAACGGAAAAAAGAACAGGAGGAAUCGAAAGUCAAAGACAGAGCUGCACUUGAGAAAUACCUCAAAAAGCCCCCAGUUGCUGGAGAAGGAACAUCUGAUCUCCCAUGUACAUCACACUCUGAAGAAUGUGAAGGAAUAACGAGCACAGUAUGUGAGUCCACCAUUGCAGCCCCCUCAGAUCCUGCUGACUGCCCAGGCCCAUCUGAGUCCACCAUUGCAGUCCCCUCAGAUCCUGCUGACUGCCCAGGCCCAUCUGAGUCCAACAUUGCAGUCCCCUCAGAUCCUGCUGACUGGCCAGCACUGAGUGAUACAGUGAGAAAAGCCAUGUGAACAUCACAUUGAAAUCAUGGUCUGAUACCAGAUGGGAGAGUCGGAUCAACAGCAUAGAGGCUGUAAGGUAUCAGGCUGCAGAAGUCAGAGAUGCACUU